GGAUUGAUGAUGAUUUCCAAUGAAAUAUUCCUUGGAUUACUGAACAAAAUGUGUGAAAACUCAAUACCGCCACUAUCAUCAUGACUGAGGUCC
ensembl:snoRNA LOC120100333 small nucleolar RNA SNORD116